AGAGUUUGAUCAUGGCUCAGACUGAACGCUGGCGGCAUGCCUAACACAUGCAAGUCGAACGGCAGCGCGGGUAGCAAUACCUGGCGGCGAGUGGCGGACGGGUGAGGAAUACAUCGGAAUCUACCCUGUCGUGGGGGAUAACCAACCGAAAGGUUGGCUAAUACCGCAUACGACCGAGAGGUGAAGGCGGAGGACCGCAAGGCUUCGCGCGAUUGGAUGAGCCGAUGUCGGAUUAGCUAGUUGGCGGGGUAAGAGCCCACCAAGGCGACGAUCCGUAGCUGGUCUGAGAGGAUGAUCAGCCACACUGGGACUGAGACACGGCCCAGACUCCUACGGGAGGCAGCAGUGGGGAAUAUUGGACAAUGGGCGCAAGCCUGAUCCAGCAAUGCCGCGUGUGUGAAGAAGGCCUUCGGGUUGUAAAGCACUUUUAUCGGGAGCGAAAAGCGACUGGCUAAUACCCGGUCGUGCUGACGGUACCCGAUGAAUAAGCACCGGCUAACUUCGUGCCAGCAGCCGCGGUAAUACGAAGGGUGCAAGCGUUAGUCGGAAUUACUGGGCGUAAAGCGUGCGUAGGCGGUUUCUUAAGUCGGAUGUGAAAGCCCUGGGCUCAACCUGAGAAUGGCACUCGAUACUGGGAAGCUGGAGUGCGGUAGAGGAGGGUGGAAUUCCCGGUGUAGCGGUGAAAUGCGUAGAGAUCGGG
rnacentral:rRNA from 1 species